AGACAUUUAGUUUAAAAAUAAAUAAAACCCUUGAUUUCGGCUCAAGAAUUUAUGGUGUAAGCCCAUAUUUGUCUG
rnacentral:tRNA from 1 species